ensembl:lncRNA
GUGUGUAUUAUUGUUACUGAUUUCAGAAACUGUUGUGAAAACAAUUGGGAAGCAACCAGAUGUCACUCAAAUAUGCACCAAUGAAACACAGAACAUCAUCACACUGAUAGUUUGUACGAUCAGAACUCAGAGAAGUGGAGGAGGAAAUUGUGUUCUGCUGUAUGAACAUGCACGGGGCUUUGAGCACAAAUGUGACUCCAGGUUCACACUGAUGAAAGAAAAUCAGACUGUGUUUCUCCACCUGAUCAAUUUAACAUCAGAGGACAGUGGGAGCUACAGCUGUCAGUGUACAAGUCCUGGAAGAACAAAUAUUCUCCAUCUUAAUGUCACUGUGGAAGGUAAACAAGAUAAACAAGAACUAAGCAGCAGGUCUGGAACAGAAACAGUUCCUCUUACACUGAUUUCUGUAACCGUGUUCAUCAUUGUGAGUUUAGUUAUCUUUGGAUUUAUUCACGCACGACUGCACCAGAGAAAACCAUCUCCUAGACCUCAAAACACGGGGUCAGAGGACAUUGAGCCGUACAGCACCUACAUACGGAGGGAAAGUGGUCUUUAUUCAACUGUUAAAAUGCACGACUCUAAACAGAAUACCAACAGUUCACAUGUGUCAGCAGACACAGUUGAGACAGUCUACGCAGGAGUACAAUAAUAUUAUAUCACAUUUUUCAACACUGACAAUUGUAGUUUGGCAAAUUCACCACAGGGUGGCAUCAUUUGCAAUAUGACUGACAAAUAAAGAACUGACCAGAAUCAGCGGAAAUAGUCAAAUAUUUCAUAUCUAAACACGAUUUCUUUUUAUCAUCUUAGCAUUUUAGUAUUGUGUUUUUAUGUAAAUAUUUUGUUACAAACUGCAGUAAAACUUUAUCCAUCAUUUGUUGUGUUUUUCUUUUUUUUAAUGCAGAAGAGAGAACUUUGUAAAUUCUGAGUUUUCAUAUGACUAAACUCAUAUAGUCAAGAAAAAUUCAACAAUUUCAGAUCCCUUUUGCUUUAUUCACUGUGACCGCUUUCAUGUAAGUUUGAGGAACUAGCAAGUCGGACGUCUUAAGAAUUCAUCUUGUUUUGAGAACUAAGAUGAUUAAAUGUAAUGACAGAUACAUAUCCUUCAGGAUAGUUAAUGUUCUGGUCUUUCUCAUUAGACUGAAUAAACCAGAU